rnacentral:rRNA from 1 species
UUUCCGGUUGAUCCCGCCGGACCUGACUGCUAUCGGAUUGAUACUAAGCCAUGCGAGUCUUUGCAGUAAUGCAAGGCAUACGGCUCAGUAACACGUAGUCAACUUACCCUAUGGACGAGGAUAAUCUCGGGAAACUGAGCAUAAUACUCGAUAGAUCAUAAUGCCUGGAAUGGUUUAUGGUUGAAAUGAUUCGUCGCCAUAGGAUGGGACUGCGGCCUAUCAGCUUGUUGGUGAGGUAAUGGCCCACCAAGGCGAUUACAGGUACGGGCUCUGAGAGGAGAAGCCCGGAGAUGGGUACUGAGACAAGGACCCAGGCCCUAUGGGGCGCAGCAGGCGAGAAAACUUUGCAAUGUGCGAAAGCACGACAAGGUUAAUCCGAGUGAUUUCUGCUAAAGAAAUCUUUUGCAAGUCAUAAAACCACUAGUGAAUAAGGGGUGGGCAAGUUCUGGUGUCAGCCGCCGCGGUAAAACCAGCACCUCAAGUGGUCAGGAGGAUUAUUGGGCCUAAAGCAUCCGUAGCCGGCUCUGUAAGUUUUCGGUUAAAUCCAUGUGCUCAACGCAUGGGCUGCCGAAAAUACUGCAUAGCUAGGGAGUGGGAGAGGUAGACGGUACUCGGUAGGAAGGGGUAAAAUCCUUUGAUCUAUCGAUGACCACCUGUGGCGAAGGCGGUCUACCAGAACACGUUCGACGGUGAGGGAUGAAAGCUGGGGGAGCAAACCGGAUUAGAUACCCGGGUAGUCCCAGCUGUAAACGAUGCAGACUCGAUGAUGCAUUGGCAUAUAGCCAGUGCAGUGUCGCAGGGAAGCCGUUAAGUCUGCCGCCUGGGAAGUACGUACGCAAGUAUGAAACUUAAAGGAAUUGGCGGGGGAGCACCACAAGGGGUGAAGCCUGCGGUUCAAUUGGAGUCAACGCCGGGAAGGGC